UAGCCUUGACAUACUACAAAAUUUGACAGAAAUGUUGAAGUGCCUUCUGGAGAUGUAAUACAAGUGCUGCACGGCUGUCGUCAGCUCGUGUCGUGAGAUGUUGGUUUAAGUCCCGCAACGAGCGCAACCCUCGUCGUUAUUUACUAACGGUUCGGCCGAGGACUCUAAUGAGACUGCCUUCUGAAGGAGGAGGAAGGUGAGGACGACGACAAGUCAUCAUGGUCCUUACGGCUAGGACAACACACGUGCUACUAUGGUUAGGACAAUGAGAAGAGAUACCGCGAGGUGGAGCAAAUCUAUAAACCUAAUCUCAGUUCGGAUAACAGUCUGCAACUCGACUGCUUGAAGCUGGAAUCACUAGUAAUCGUAAAUCAUCUAUGUUACGGUGAAUACGUUCCCGGGUCU
rnacentral:rRNA from 1 species